UACGUAGGGUGCGAGCGUUUAAUCGGAAUACUGGGCGUAAAGCGUGCGCAGGCGGUUCUGCAAGUCAGAUGUGAAAUCCCCGGGCUUAACCUGGGAACUGCGUUUGAAACUACGGAGCUAGAGUGCGGCAGAGGGGGGUGGAAUUCCACGUGUAGCAGUGAAAUGCGUAGAUAUGUGGAGGAACACCGAUGGCGAAGGCAGCCCCCCUGGGCCGACACUGACGCUCAGGCACGAAAGCGUGGGGAGCAAACAGG
rnacentral:rRNA from 1 species